UACGGAGGGGGCGAGCGUUAUUCGGAAUUAUUGGGCGUAAAGGGCGCGUAGGCGGCUUCUUAAGUCAAAGGUGAAAUCCCUCGGCUCAACUGAGGAACUGCACGGGAAACUGCCUGGCUUGAGUUCGGGAGAGGGAAGCGGAAUUCCGGGUGUAGCGGUGAAAUGCGUAGAUAUCCGGAGGAACACCGGUGGCGAAGGCGGCUUCCUGGACCGGACACUGACGCUGAGGCGCGAAAGCUAGGGGAGCAAACGGG
rnacentral:rRNA from 1 species